CUGGAAUUUAAAUUUAGCUGGGCAUCCUGUAUUUCAUCUGGCAUCCCUAUCGGAAAGAAUAGAUGUAUUUUGCUUACAAAUAGAGGAAAGUGGAGACUCAUGACCCAGAAUUCUGGUAGAUUGCACUAUUUAUCCAAAACUUUGUUUCUCUUUUUUUUUUAGGGCCUGCCUGGUGGCCCUCCCCGUAAGAAGGUAUUCUUCCUGCUACGUUGACAUCAGGCUUAUUAGCCAUGUUUCUGGAUUUGAUCCAUGUUAUAAUAAAGAGAACAUGGAGCAGGGCUGCAGCUGAUCUUCAAAGAGCAUGAACACAAGCCAGACAGAAGCCAUUGUUGUAAACCCUGAAGAUUUGGGGGAUAUUAUUGCAACACAACUCAGCCCAAACUGACUAAUACAACAAGUUUCUAUGUAUACAUGGAAAUGUAUGUGGUCUUAGCCUCCAGGUGGUUUUCAUCAUAAAACUAAAUUACAUCCUAAUUGAAAAAAAAUACAAGCACAAAGACAAUAAAAAUCACAUGAAAGAUUUAAA